GAUGAACGCUGGCGGCGUGCCUAAUACAUGCAAGUCGAGCGAACAGACGAGGAGCUUGCUCCUCUGACGUUAGCGGCGGACGGGUGAGUAACACGUGGAUAACCUACCUAUAAGACUGGGAUAACUUCGGGAAACCGGAGCUAAUACCGGAUAAUAUAUUGAACCGCAUGGUUCAAUAGUGAAAGACGGUUUUACUGUCACUUAUAGAUGGAUCCGCGCCGUAUUAGCUAGUUGGUAAGGUAACGGCUUACCAAGGCAACGAUGCGUAGCCGACCUGAGAGGGUGAUCGGCCACACUGGAACUGAGACACGGUCCAGACUCCUACGGGAGGCAGCAGUAGGGAAUCUUCCGCAAUGGGCGAAAGCUUGACGGAGCAACGCCGCGUGAGUGAUGAAGGUCUUCGGAUCGUAAAACUCUGUUAUUAGGGAAGAACAAAUGUGUAAGUAACUAUGCACGUCUUGACGGUACCUAAUCAGAAAGCCACGGCUAACUACGUG
rnacentral:rRNA from 1 species